rnacentral:misc_RNA from 1 species
UGCAUCCUCAGCGCAGUCCACACCGCCAUCGUUCUCCCCGCCACGCCCCUUCCACCCAGACCAGAGAAAGAGCCGUAGCCACGUAGGCCACCGCACCCGAGCACGACCAUCGCGUGUCACCAUGGGCCGCGUCAAGGUGACACCGAAGGGGAAGGUGAAGAAGAACAUUCCCAUCACUCGCGUAGGGAAGAAACAGUACCUGAAGCGGCGUUUUGCCCACGUCCGCGCUGUGGACGUCGCCGGCGCCAACAACCGCUUUACCCAGAAGUACUUCGAGGGCAACAACACCGCCGAGCAGACCUUCACUCGUCUCGGCCUCGCCAUCGACCCGAGCGCGCCGAAGUCGGUGACGGAGAAACGCAAGGCAAAGGUGCGUCCGCAGACGCGUCGCGUCUUUGAGGAGCAGAAUGAGCUGGCGGAGCACGAGAAGAUGGUGAAGGCGACGAAAAUCGGCCGCCCGGUUAGCGAGCAGGAAGGGUCCACCAUUGCGAACCUGAUCGAGCGUUACGGCACAGACCUGAAGCGCAUGACACUGGAUCGAAAGCUGAACCCGUUCCAGCUGAACAUGCGCCAGCUGCAGCGGCAGAUUGUGAACUACCUCAAGUGGGAAAAGGCAGCCUUCCCAAAGCAGUUCGCCGAGGCGGAAGAGAAGGGCUGGUUUUCAGUUGAGCAGUUCGCCGACCCACACCUGCGCUCCGGUCAGCGGGCUUAGUCGGUGUGCGACUUGGGCCUUCGACAGUUGCCGGUGCUGCCCUUCCUUUCGCAAGACUGUGAUGUGCCCUCCUGCUUGUGUCUCCUCUUCGCCAUCACACCGUGUAAGGAAAGAGGGGUGACGUCGUGUCAGCGACGAUUUUUUUUUGUUGUUUCCUUUACGGUGGGUGUGCGGUUGUGGCGGUGGACACGCCGUCCCCGCCGCUGCUUGCUAGUGCCGCUGUUGUUGCCGGUGUCCCUCUGCCCUCCCCCCUCUCCUCUCCGGUCUCUCACGCUCCGUUGUGUGUCUUCCUCAUCGUGUAACUUCAUCUACUAAAAAGGCUGUCGCCGCUCUUGCGUCCCACCACCACCCCUUCUUCAACCCUGUUGGCCGGCCACUGUCCUUCUCCUGCCUCUCUCCUCGAAUUAUUCACGUGCGGUCUGCGAGGGAGGGGGGGGGCAAGAGCGAUAAACAAAGAACGAAACGACAACAAGCGAUGCGAAGAAGCAUCCGGCGCGGCAUCAUCACCAUUGCACCAAGAAACGGCCUACCGAGUAGGACGGAAUGGGAUAGGGACGCUACAGCAGCACCCGCAUCACGAGCGCCGCGCUCAUCCAAGAAGGUAUCCGCGCGCCCCUUAGCGGAAGAGGGGGGAAGCCCAGUCGCAUACCCCCCCCCUCCCCACGCUAGUAGCAGGCUGGGAGCACCCUUAGCCGCUGUCCGUCCCUCUGCUCCGCUUCACAUUAUCGUUGGGGGCGAAUCCGCAUGGCGGUGGUGAUGCAAGCAGCGCCUUCGCUUCUCCACCCUCUCUGGGUUGUUGCACCGCUGCCGCGGCGGCGGCUUAGUCCACACACACACGUCUCCAUCCCUUCCUGCACAGACCGUUACCAUAGCAUUUGUUGGUUGACGGACAUGUUUUGCAUGAGCGAAUACUCGGCCCUCCCCUCCCCACGCAUCCGUCUCUGCCUUCCCUCUUCUGUGCGUCGUAACUUGUGAGCGAAUACGGGCAUACACGGUGCGGCGCAAAG